rnacentral:lncRNA from 1 species
AUAUUAUACAUAUAAUAUAUCUAAAAAAAUCAACUAACACAAAAAAAUAGUACCAUUUUGUUGGGUCAACCCAGUUGGUCAAACAGUUGUGUUUCAUAUUUCCCUUAAAAUGGUGUGAGAUAUAGUGUGUAUAUUUCAGUAUGAGUUGUUAUAAGACAAUGAUUGAAAGAAAUUGACUUUGUUGAAUAUGCUGGAUUCUGACACAUUAGAAACUUGUAACCAGAUUCUUCAUUUUUUAACAAGAUAAAGAUUUAAAAAAAAAAUUAUUUAAAACAGUCAGCAAGUGGUUAGUAUAGUGGUUAAUUUUAACUCCACACAUUCUAUGUCGUCUCAAAACUGAUAAAGCAACUAGUUCUAAACUGGAUAAGAAGCCUUAAAAAUAUUGGUGUAGUGGGAAGAGCGCUCGCUUUGUAAGCGAGAGGUUUGGAGC